AUUGAACGCUGGCGGCAGGCCUAACACAUGCAAGUCGAGCGGAUGAAGGGAGCUUGCUCCUGGACUCAGCGGCGGACGGGUGAGUAAUGCCUAGGAAUCUGCCUGGUAGUGGGGGAUAACGUCCGGAAACGGGCGCUAAUACCGCAUACGUCCUGAGGGAGAAAGUGGGGGAUCUUCGGACCUCACGCUAUCAGAUGAGCCUAGGUCGGAUUAGCUAGUUGGUGGGGUAAAGGCCUACCAAGGCGACGAUCCGUAACUGGUCUGAGAGGAUGAUCAGCCACACUGGAACUGAGACACGGUCCAGACUCCUACGGGAGGCAGCAGUGGGGAAUAUUGGACAAUGGGCGAAAGCCUGAUCCAGCCAUGCCGCGUGUGUGAAGAAGGUCUUCGGAUUGUAAAGCACUUUAAGUUGGGAGGAAGGGCAGUAAGUUAAUACCUUGCUGUUUUGACGUUACCAACAGAAUAAGCACCGGCUAACUUCGUG
rnacentral:rRNA from 1 species